CUCAGGUUUGCCCAUUCAAUUGUGAGUAGUAUUCGAUGGGGAGCUAAUUUAUUUUAGUUUUUCUAUGUAGGAUGUACUUUAGAAAAACAAAUUGGAUCAAUGUUGUGAAGGCUGUGGUCCCUGAAGGCCAGUUACUAUGAAAACAUUAUACUUGGUUAUUGAAAUCAAAGAAAUAUUGUGGCAUAUGCAAGAAGAUUUGGCAUCAUUAUGAUGGUGGUAGUUGGACCCCCAAAUGAAUGGGAAGCAGAUCUCCCAAUCUUGCCUUAUGGCAGGAACUGUGGGGUCCACUAUGAUGCAUGUGUUUUAUACACCCUGUCCAUCCCUUUUGCCAGCUCAUUUCCAAGCAUAAGCCCCAAAAUGAAGCAGAUCCAAAGCUCAUGUGGACUGUAAACAAUGUGAUUAAAUUGUUUGGCAUUUCAUGCUUGAGACCUUUAAUUGUUUGCAAAUUUCACAUUUCAGAUAAUACAUGAUAGUUAUUAUCUUAAUAUUGGUUCAUGUUAAAGGCUAUAUCUUGUUAUUAUUUUACAGAAAUUACAAAUUUGUAAUUUGAGAAUAUUAGGUUUGUAACACUUCAUCUGAUAGAGUAUAUACCAGAUGAAAUCAUCCCCAGAAUAGUUUGAGAUUCUUAUGAGGCUUGCCUAAU